AAGUCGUAACAAGGUUUCCGUAGGUGAACCUGCGGAAGGAUCAUUGUCGAACCCUGGAUGGCAAAACAACCCGUGAACGUGUAUCAACAAUAUGGCUUGGCGGGUACUGACGCUUCUUGUUUCAAUGCCCGUGAAGCCCCGUCGACGUGCGCUCGUGGUGUGUCUUUCGGCACUCACGGCAUCACGUUGACGCAACAACAACCCCCGGCACAGCACGUGCCAAGGAAAACCAAACUUAAGAGCGCCCGUGCCAUGACGCCCCGUGCUAGGUGUGUUCAUGGUAUGCGGCUUCUUUGUAAUUCUAAACGACUCUCGGCAACGGAUAUCUCGGCUCACGCAUCGAUGAAGAACGUAGCAAAAUGCGAUACUUGGUGUGAAUUGCAGAAUCCCGUGAACCAUCGAGUUUUUGAACGCAAGUUGCGCCCGAAGCCACCCGGUUGAGGGCACGUCUGCCUGGGCGUCACGCAUCACGUCGCCCACACCAAACAUCCAUGAUGUAUGUGGGCGGAGACUGGUCUCCCGUGCCCAUGGCGCGGUUGGCCCAAAUACGAGUCCGCUUAAGAGUGACGCACGACUGGUGGUGGUUGAUUACACAGUCGUCUCGUGUCGUGCGUCUCGAUUCUUGACGGUAUUAGCUCUUGUAGCACCCUAACGCGCCGUCUUGUGAUGGCCCUUCGAUCGCGACCCCAGGUCAGGCGGGACUACCCGCUGAGUUUAA
rnacentral:rRNA from 1 species